UUUUCACUUGACCUCCUGUGCCUGUUAGUUCCCAUGCAGUUCUGAAUUGGUCUUUUGAGCUUUUAGCUAUCGCCAAAGCCUCUGACUGUUCUUCUCUCAAGGCACUUCACUGGGCCUGACUGCAGAAGCACUGCCUGGAGGUGUAGGAAACAUCUCACAAAAAUGGAGCUGAAGGCCAUGGUCUCGGAUGAAAGAGGACAGAGCUCAAAAUAGGUGGCACCAUUCCAUGAUCUGGCAGCUGGAGCAGCAGGAGGGGAGGGGCCAAGUGGAUGCCAGGAACCUGAUAGCCAAUGGAAAGGAAAGAUAAGGAGGACAGUUGGAACCGCAUGGGUGACAGAAGGUGACCUGGAGGGAAGGUGAGUAGGACAGAUGGUGGAGGUGGCAGACAGUGGGGUGAGAGGGGAGCUCCACAUCCAACCCUUCCCUGGCUGAUCACAUGUGGUCACUCCAAUCCAUUAGGGAGGGCGAACACUGUCUUGUGUUGAUUGUACAAGGAAUGGAGCUCAGUGUAUGAUGAUUCUCCUCUAUCGUACUUAUAGCAAAGACACCAGCAAUUUGCUAGUGGAUGUGAGGAUCUUACUCAACCCCGAACUGCACAAACAUGAUAAGAACACAGCAGAUACCUGCUGCUUAGGAGGGUGUCCAGAGGACUUUGGCAUCAUAGUCUGAGCUGAUGUUUAGCCAGGACACACACCAUAAAGGCCAUACUGAUUGUGUAUGGUCAUUGCCCAAAA
rnacentral:lncRNA from 1 species